rnacentral:rRNA from 1 species
GGGCCCGCACAAGCGGUGGAGCAUGUGGUUCAAUUCGACGCAACGCGAAGAACCUUACCAGCCCUUGACAUGUCCAGGACCGGUCGCAGAGACGCGAUCUUCUCUUCGGAGCCUGGAACACAGGUGCUGCAUGGCUGUCGUCAGCUCGUGUCGUGAGAUGUUGGGUUAAGUCCCGCAACGAGCGCAACCCUCGUCCUUAGUUGCCAUCAUUCAGUUGGGCACUCUAAGGAGACUGCCGGUGAUAAGCCGCGAGGAAGGUGGGGAUGACGUCAAGUCCUCAUGGCCCUUACGGGCUGGGCUACACACGUGCUACAAUGGCGGUGACAAUGGGCAGCGAACCCGCAAGGGGGAGCUAAUCUCUAAAAACCGUCUCAGUUCGGAUUGCACUCUGCAACUCGAGUGCAUGAAGUUGGAAUCGCUAGUAAUCGUGGAUCAGCAUGCCACGGUGAAUACGUUCCCGGGCCUU